rnacentral:rRNA from 1 species
UACGGAGGGGGCUAGUGUUGUUCGGAAUUACUGGGCGUAAAGCGCACGUAGGCGGCGCAGCAAGUUGGGGGUGAAAUCCCGAGGCUCAACCGUCGGAAUUGCCUUCAAAACUGCUGUGCUCGAGUUCGGAAGAGGUGAGUGGAAUUCCCAGUGUAGAGGUGAAAUUCGUAGAGAUUGGGAAGAACACCAGUGGCGAAGGCGGCUCACUGGUCCGCAACUGGACGCUGAGGUGCGAAAGCGUG